UACGUAGGGUGCGAGCGUUGUCCGGAAUUAUUGGGCGUAAAGAGCUCGUAGGCGGUUUGUUGCGUCGGCUGUGAAAUCCCGAGGCUCAACCUCGGGUCUGCAGUCGAUACGAGCAAACUAGAGUGUUGCAGGGGAGACUGGAAUUCCUGGUGUAGCGGUGAAAUGCGCAGAUAUCAGGAGGAACACCGGUGGCGAAGGCGGGUCUCUGGGACGGUACUGACGCUGAGACGCGAAAGCGUGGGGAGCGAACAGG
rnacentral:rRNA from 1 species